AUUCGGAUUUACUGGGCGUACAGGGAGCGUAGGCGGUUCGGUAAGCCCUCUGUGAAAUCUCCAGGCUUAACCUGGAACAGUCGGAGGGGACUGCUGGGCUAGAGGACGGGAGAGGAGCGCGGAAUUCCCGGUGUAGCGGUGAAAUGCGUAGAGAUCGGGAGGAAGGCCGGUGGCGAAGGCGGCGCUCUGGAACGUUUCUGACGCUGAGGCUCGAAAGCGUGGGGAGCAAACAGGAUUAGAUACCCUGGUAGUCCACGCCUUAAACUAUGAAUACUAAGUGUCGGCGGUUUACCGCCGGUGCCGCAGCUAACGCAUUAAGUAUUCCGCCUGGGAAGUACGGCCGCAAGGUUGAAACUCAAA
rnacentral:rRNA from 1 species